GCUCGUGAGACUUCUCUAUACAUAAACGUACUCUGUGUUGGAUCGCUGCACUUAUUCAGGCAGAAAUAAAAAACCUACGUAAAGCGCGAGGAAUUGCUCGUGUGGGUGUUGCGCAUGCAUCUACGUACAACAUAUUGGUAUCGACGUGGACAGCCAGUUCGGAAGUCAAAUUGAUUUCAGAGGUAGCAGUACUAGGCACACGAUGACCGUCACAUGUUAAACACUUAACUAGGUAUUUGCACCAUCGUACACAGCACGCUCAAUGUCAUCCAUGAAAUUGUCCGAAGAACCACAUAUGAUAUGACAAUGGUAGAAACACACGCAUUCUUGCCUUCGUUUCUAAAAACCACAAUAAUUCUGCCACCUAGUUGUUCAACACGCACCUUCCGCAGCAGUUGCUCGUCUGUGAAGUCCCACAAAUAAAAACUUUUAAAAACAAUUUAUUAGCAAAUAUUCUAACAGAACUUCCUAACUGUAGUUUAUGUAUUGUAUGUAAGGUGGUCACUAUUAUAUCGUCCCCUUAGUAUUAAACAUUUUUUGAUGUUUUGAGAAAAUGAAUUUCAAACUUUUUGUCGAAAGUAGCUCUCACUCAAAUCUCGUUAUGUCUGUAAAUAUUUUUUAUUUUUUGACUGACGUUUUGACCCACUUUGUGGAACUAGAAUUUGACAAAAUUUUGACCACAUAUAAAAUCGACGAUGGAGAAUCCAAAAAUUCAAUAAAAAAAUAAUAGCCUAUGAGCACAUAGGCUAUUGUUAUACUAAGGGGACGAUAUUUGCAAAAACGCUGUUCUAAAAACCUAUGAAUGAAAAAGAUUAAUAAUAAUUUUUAGAAAUGUCUGAUCUGGAUUUACGUGUAUGAAAAUUCACAAACCGGUGGUUUACCGCAGCAGAAAGCCAACUCCAAAUAAUCAACUACCACAUCGACCUAAAUAGCGAAAAACGACAUUAAUUUACAAAAUAAUUAGCUUUCAUUAUUAUACUUACUUGAAUGUUUACAAACAGAUAAAAGAUUUUCAACGAAUAAUAACAAGGCAAAGCGUCAAAGUGGAAACGGUGUUGCCGACCAUAUAAUUUGCACUAAAAGUUGAAUUUUUACUACAAUUUAAAAUUUUUUUCAUAAAACAUGUACGUAUAUUUGUACACUCGUUUGUGAAUACUCAUGCAUGUACGUAAAUCUCGAUCAGGCAUUUGUACAAAUUCUUAUUAAAUCUUUUCCUUUGUUAGAACUGCAAAUACAGGGUGGGCCAUAUAGCGUUUGCUUUUGGAGCCACCUAUUUUUUUGAGAUGGUAACACAAAUGUCACGCCAAAUGUGUUCAUAAUUUACUUAAAGGUUUAACAUUUACGAAAUGGGACGCUUUACGCUUGAACAAAUUGGGGAAAUAUUGAAAACCUAUUUCAUAAGUGGUGAGUCUUCCUCUUCUUUUCUGAUUUUCACAUCGGUGGCUACGUCAAUAAGCAAAAUUGUCGGAUUUGGGGCUCAGAAAAUCCACACGUUACUGUAGAGAAGCAAAUACAUCCACAACGAGUCACUGUUUAGUGCGGUUUUUGGUCUGGCGGCAUCAUCGGGCCAUUUUUUUCGAAAAUGAGCGAGGCGCUGCGGUUACAGUAAAUGGCGAGCGUUACAGUGACAUGCUCAACGAGUUGCUUCCAAAAAUUGAAGAGGAUGACAUGGACGACAUUUGGUUUCAACAGGACGGUGCAACUUGUCACACUGCCAAAGUUACACUCGAACUUUUGGCUACCGUUUUUGAAAACCGAAUAAUCAGCCGAAAUUCCGAUAUCAAUUGGCCGCCUCGGAGCUGUGAUUUAAGCCCGUUGGACUAUUUUUUGUGGAGAGCCGUUAAGGACAAAUGCUGUGCGAACCAUCCAGAGACGAUUGAUGCUUUAAAACACGAAAUCGAAGUUGCCAUUCAUGAAAUUGGAGCCCAAACAAUCGAAAAUGUGCUUAAAAAUUGGGUUGAUCGAAUGGCCUACUGUAAAGCCAGUCGUGGCAGUCAUUUGAACGAUAUUAUUUUUCAUUCAUAAAUGACAAUGUUCAAUCUUCAAAAUAAAAAAAAAAAGUUUGAAAAAAUAUUGAUUAGUUUUUAUAGCCGAUUCAAAAAGCAAAUUUUACAUGGCCCACCCUUUACAAUCGCAGUCACCUUACAUAUACCACAUUCACAGGCGCAUAAGUGCAGCGGGAGGUGUGUUGAAAAGCUAAGUGGUACUACUGUAGUGCUUUUUAGAAACGAAGGCAAGAAUGCGUGUGUUUCUACCCUUGUCAUAUCAUACAUAUAUGGCUCUUCGGACAAUUUCAUGGAUGACAUUGAGCGUGCUAUGGUGAUGGUGUAAAUACCUUCAAGUGUUUGCAUGUGACCGUCGUUAUGUGUCUGGUGCUGGUGCCACUGAAAUCGACUUGGCUUCCGAACUGGCUGUCUCCGCCGAUACCAUACCGGGCCUUGAACAGUACGCUGUUUUUGGUUUCUGCGCAAGUUCAACGUCUCUACAUCUGCUCGAAUCAGUGCAGCGUUCCAACACCCAUACUCGUACGAGCCACUUUCCGCAAUUUUUCUCAUUGCAUUUGAUUAACGUAAAUUUAUGAAUUAUAUUAGUAAUAUAUGAAAUAUUUGUUUUAGACUAUAUGAAUACAUUUUCCCAACACUUACUAAUAUUAGGGCCAAGUAUAUUAAGGUAAACAAACUUUACACUAUAAACUACCAAACUUGUAAAAAAAAAUAUACUCGGAAAUCUACAUAAAAGCUUAUUUUGUUUACUAGCAGCAUUUCCUUUUCAAUAUAAUGAAAAUACUCCGUUAGAGACGCCAUGUUUUUACUUUUUCUAUCUUCACAUCUAACUAAUGUUUGUUUUAAAAUUCCGAUCUAACUUAAAACACAUAUUUAAGUAACAAAUCAUAGUUCUGCGUGCUCUUGUCUUGUUAG